AGAGUUUGAUUAUGGCUCAGGAUGAACGCUAGCGAUAGGCUUAACACAUGCAAGUCGAGGGGCAGCACAAGGAGCAAUCUGAGGUGGCGACCGGCGCACGGGUGAGUAACACGUAUGCAACCUACCCAUAACAGGGGGAUAGCUCGUCGAAAGGCGAAUUAAUACCGCAUAAAGCAGGGGUCCCGCAUGGGAAUAUUUGCUAAAGAUUUAUCGGUUAUGGAUGGGCAUGCGUUCCAUUAGAUAGUUGGGGAGGUAACGGCUCACCAAGUCAGCGAUGGAUAGGGGUUCUGAGAGGAAGGUCCCCCACACCGGUACUGAGACACGGACCGGACUCCUACGGGAGGCAGCAGUGAGGAAUAUUGGUCAAUGGUCGAGAGACUGAACCAGCCAAAUCGCGUGAAGGAUGAAGGUAUUAUGUAUUGUAAACUUCUUUUAUUUGGGAAUAAAGUGAGGGACGUGUCCCUUUUUGUAUGUACCAGAUGAAUAAGGAUCGGCUAACUCCGUGCCAGCAGCCGCGGUAAUACGGAGGAUCCGAGCGUUAUCCGGAUUUAUUGGGUUUAAAGGGUGCGUAGGCGGGCUUGUAAGUCAGCGGUGAAAGUUUGCAGCUUAACUGUAAAAUUGCCGUUGAAACUGUGAGUCUUGAGUGUGAACGAGGUAGGCGGAAUUCGUAGUGUAGCGGUGAAAUGCUUAGAUAUUACGAAGAACUCCAAUAGCGCAGGCAGCUUACCAGGCCACAACUGACGCUGAAGCACGAAAGUGUGGGUAUCAAACAGGAUUAGAUACCCUGGUAGUCCACACAGUAAACGAUGAAUACUAACUGUUUGCGAUAUACAGUAAGCGGUACAGCGAAAGCGUUAAGUAUUCCACCUGGGGAGUACGCCGGCAACGGUGAAACUCAAAGGAAUUGACGGGGGCCCGCACAAGCGGAGGAACAUGUGGUUUAAUUCGAUGAUACGCGAGGAACCUUACCCGGACUCGAACGGCUAGUGAGUGUAGUGGAAACAUUACAGUCCGUAAGGA
rnacentral:rRNA from 1 species